rnacentral:rRNA from 1 species
GACGAACGCUGGCGGCGUGCUUAACACAUGCAAGUCGAACGGUGAAGCGCCUUCCUUUUUGGUGGGUGUGGAUGAGUGGCGAACGGGUGAGUAACACGUGAGUAACCUGCCCCCUUCUUCUGGAUAACCGCAUGAAAGUGUGGCUAAUACGGGAUAUUCUGGGUCUGUCGCAUGAUGGGUCUGGGAAAGAUAUUGUUUCGGUGGGGGAUGGGCUCGCGGCCUAUCAGCUUGUUGGUGGGGUGAUGGCCUACCAAGGCGGUGACGGGUAGCCGGCCUGAGAGGGUGGACGGUCACACUGGGACUGAGACACGGCCCAGACUCCUACGGGAGGCAGCAGUGGGGAAUAUUGCACAAUGGGCGCAAGCCUGAUGCAGCGACGCCGCGUGAGGGAUGGAGGCCUUCGGGUCGUGAACCUCUUUCGCCAGUGAAGCAGGCCUGCCUCGUUUGUGGGUGGGUUGACGGUAGCUGGAUAAGAAGCGCCGGCUAACUACGUG